rnacentral:rRNA from 1 species
GAUGAACGCUAGCUACAGGCUUAACACAUGCAAGUCGAGGGGCAGCAUGGUCUUAGCUUGCUAAGGCCGAUGGCGACCGGCGCACGGGUGAGUAACACGUAUCCAACCUGCCGUCUACUCUUGGACAGCCUUCUGAAAGGAAGAUUAAUACAAGAUGGCAUCAUGAGUCCACAUGUUCACAUGAUUAAAGGUAUUCCGGUAGACGAUGGGGAUGCGUUCCAUUAGAUAGUAGGCGGGGUAACGGCCCACCUAGUCUUCGAUGGAUAGGGGUUCUGAGAGGAAGGUCCCCCACAUUGGAACUGAGACACGGUCCAAACUCCUACGGGAGGCAGCAGUGAGGAAUAUUGGUCAAUGGGCGAGAGCCUGAACCAGCCAAGUAGCGUGAAGGAUGACUGCCCUAUGGGUUGUAAACUUCUUUUAUAAAGGAAUAAAGUCGGGUAUGGAUACCCGUUUGCAUGUACUUUAUGAAUAAGGAUCGGCUAACUCCGUGCCAGCAGCCGCGGUAAUACGGAGGAUCCGAGCGUUAUCCGGAUUUAUUGGGUUUAAAGGGAGCGUAGAUGGAUGUUUAAGUCAGUUGUGAAAGUUUGCGGCUCAACCGUAAAAUUGCAGUUGAUACUGGAUAUCUUGAGUGCAGUUGAGGCAGGCGGAAUUCGUGGUGUAGCGGUGAAAUGCUUAGAUAUCACGAAGAACUCCGAUUGCGAAGGCAGCCUGCUAAGCUGCAACUGACAUUGAGGCUCGAAAGUGUGGGUAUCAAACAGGAUUAGAUACCCUGGUAGUCCACACGGUAAACGAUGAAUACUCGCUGUUUGCGAUAUACAGCAAGCGGCCAAGCGAAAGCGUUAAGUAUUCCACCUGGGGAGUACGCCGGCAACGGUGAAACUCAAAGGAAUUGACGGGGGCCCGCACAAGCGGAGGAACAUGUGGUUUAAUUCGAUGAUACGCGAGGAACCUUACCCGGGCUUAAAUUGCAGAUGAAUUACGGUGAAAGCCGUAAGCCGCAAGGCAUCUGUGAAGGUGCUGCAUGGUUGUCGUCAGCUCGUGCCGUGAGGUGUCGGCUUAAGUGCCAUAACGAGCGCAACCCUUGUUGUCAGUUACUAACAGGUUCCGCUGAGGACUCUGACAAGACUGCCAUCGUAAGAUGUGAGGAAGGUGGGGAUGACGUCAAAUCAGCACGGCCCUUACGUCCGGGGCUACACACGCGUUACAAUGGGGGGUACAGAGGGCCGCUACCACGCGAGUGGAUGCCAAUCCCAAAAACCUCUCUCAGUUCGGACUGGAGUCUGCAACCCGACUCCACGAAGCUGGAUUCGCUAGUAAUCGCGCAUCAGCCACGGCGCGGUGAAUACGUUCCCGGGCCU